rnacentral:rRNA from 1 species
AGCAGUUAGGCUGGGAAAUAGGCAAAUCCGUUUCCAUAAGGCUGAGCUGUGAUGGCGAGCGAAAUAUAGUAGCGAAGUUCCUGAUUCCACACUGCUAAGAAAAGCCUCUAGCGAGGUGAGAGGUGCCCGUACCGCAAACCGACACAGGUAGGCGAGGAGAGAAUCUAAGGUGAUCGAGAGAACUCUCGUUAAGGAACUCGGCAAAAUGACCCGUAACUUCGGGAGAAGGUGCUCUGUUAGGGUGCAAGCCCGAGAGAGCCGCAGUGAAUAGGCCCAGGCGACUGUUUAGCAAAACACAGGUCUGCGAAGCCGUAAGGCGAAGUAUAGGGGCUGACGCCUGCCCGGUGCUGGAAGGUUAAGAGGAGCGCUUAGCGUAAGCGAAGGUGCGAAUUGAAGCCCCAGUAAACGGCGGCCGUAACAAUAACGGUCCUAAGGUAGCGAAAUUCCUUGUCGGGUAGUUCCGACCCGCACGAAAGGCGCAACGAUCUGGGCACUGUCUCAACGAGAGACUCGGUGAAAUUAUAGUACCUGUGAAGAUGCAGGUUACCCGCGACAGACGGAAAGACCCCGUGGAGCUUUACUGCAGCCUGAUAUUGAAUGUUGGUACAGCUUGUACAGGAUAGGUAGGAGCCUUGGAAACCGGAGCGCCAGCUUCGGUGGAGGCAUCGGUGGGAUACUACCCUGGCUGUAUUGACCUUCUAACCCGCCGCCCUUAUCGGGCGGGGAGACAGUGUCAGGUGGGCAGUUUGACUGGGGCGGUCGCCUCCUAAAAGGUAACGGAGGCGCCCAAAGGUUCCCUCAGAAUGGUUGAAAUCAUUCGCAGAGUGUAAAGGCACAAGGAGCUUGACUGCGAGACCUACAAGUCGAGCAGGACGAAAUCCGGGCUUAGUGAUCCGGUGGUUCCGCAUGGAAGGGCCAUCGCUCAACGGAUAAAAGCUACCCGGGGAUAACAGGCUUAUCUCCCCAAGAGUCCACAUCGACGGGGAGGUUUGGCACCUCGAUGUCGGCUCAUCGCAUCCUGGGGCUGUAGUCGGUCCCAAGGGUUGGGCUGUUCGCCCAUUAAAGCGGUACGCGAGCUGGGUUCAGAACGUCGUGAGACAGUUCGGUCCUAUCCGUCGCGGGCGCAGGAAAUUUGAGAGGAGCUGUCCUUAGUACGAGAGGACCGGGAUGGACGCACCGCUGGUGUACCAGUUGUUCUGCCAAGGGCAUCGCUGGGUAGCUAUGUGCGGACGGGAUAAGUGCUGAAAGCAUCUAAGCAUGAAGCCCCUCAAGAUGAGAUUUCCAUUCCGCAAGGAAGUAAGAUCCCUGAAAGAUGAUCAGGUUGAUAGGUCUGAGGUGGAAGUGUGGCGACACAUGGAGCUGACAGAUACUAAUCGAUCGAGGACU